CUCAGAUUUAUUAUUCGCCACGWGRGAGCUUGCUCCUUUGACGUUAGCGGCGGACGGGUGAGUAACACGUGGGCAACCUACCCUAUAGUUUGGGAUAACUCCGGGAAACCGGGGCUAAUACCGAAUAAUCUCUUUUGCUUCAUGGUGAAAGACUGAAAGACGGUUUCGGCUGUCGCUAUAGGAUGGGCCCGCGGCGCAUUAGCUAGUUGGUGAGGUAACGGCUCACCAAGGCGACGAUGCGUAGCCGACCUGAGAGGGUGAUCGGCCACACUGGGACUGAGACACGGCCCAGACUCCUACGGGAGGCAGCAGUGGGACUC
rnacentral:rRNA from 1 species